CUUGACCGACCCGAGCAGCAGCGGCCGGUCCCGGUCCUGGCCGUAGGUGGCGAGCAGGGCCUGCGCCUC
rfam:Actinophytocola sp. 11-183 contig80, whole genome shotgun sequence.